AGAGUUUGAUCAUGGCUCAGAUUGAACGCUGGCGGUAGGCUUAACACAUGCAAGUCGUGCGAGAAAGUAUCUUCGGAUAUGAGUAGAGCGGCGGACGGGUGAGUAACGCGUAGGAAUCUACCUAGUAGAAGGGGAUAGCCCGGGGAAACUCGGAUUAAUACCGUAUACCUCCUUAGGGAGAAAGAGGGCCUCUCUUGAUGCUCUCGCUAUUAGAUGAGCCUGCGUAAGAUUAGCUUGUUGGUGAGGUAAUGGCUCACCAAGGCUACGAUCUUUAGCUGGUCUGAGAGGACGAUCAGCCACAUUGGGACUGAGACACGGCCCAGACUCCUACGGGAGGCAGCAGUGGGGAAUAUUGGACAAUGGGCGCAAGCCUGAUCCAGCCAUACCGCGUGUGUGAAGAAGGCUCUAGGGUUGUAAAGCACUUUAAGCAGGGAGAAAAAGUUAUAAGUUAAUACCUUAUAACCGUGAUGUUACCUGCAGAAUAAGCACCGGCUAAUUCCGUGCCAGCAGCCGCGGUAAUACGGAAGGUGCAAGCGUUAAUCGGAAUUACUGGGCGUAAAGCGCGCGUAGGUGGUUUGUUAAGUUGGAUGUGAAAGCCCUGGGCUCAACCUAGGAACUGCAUCCAAAACUAACUCACUAGAGUACGAUAGAGGGAGGUAGAAUUCAUAGUGUAGCGGUGGAAUGCGUAUAUAU
rnacentral:rRNA from 1 species